UUCUUGUUCUAAAGUAGCAGAUAUGUUGUUGGAUAAUGGUCUACUCUAUAUGUUAUGUAAUACAGUAGCAGCCUUGAAUGGGUUAGAAAACAACAUUCCUCUGAGUGAAUACAAAUUGCUUGCUUGUGAUAUGCAGCAACUUUUCAUAGCAGUUACAAUUCAUGCUUGUAGUUCCUCAGGCUCACAACAUUUUAGGGUGAUUGAAGACCUUAUUGUACUGCUUGGAUAUCUUCAAAAUAGCAAAAACAAGAGGACACAAAAUACGACUAUUGCACUACAGCUUAGAGUUCUCCAGUCUGCUAUCGAAUUUAUAAGGACCAUUGCAGAUCACGACUCUGAAAACCUUACAGAUCCAUUCUAGUCACCUUCUGCCCUCCAUUAGGUAGUGUUUCAGAAGCAGAAAAGUAU